rnacentral:rRNA from 1 species
UACAGAGGUCCCGAGCGUUGUUCGGAUUCAUUGGGCGUAAAGGGUGCGUAGGCGGUCUGCUGAAGUUUGAUGUGAAAUCCCGGGGCUCAACCCUGGAAUGGCAUUGAAUACUGGCGGACUAGAGUACCGGAGAGGAAACUGGAAUUUACGGUGUAGCAGUGAAAUGCGUAGAGAUCGUAAGGAAGACCAGUGGCGAAGGCGAGUUUCUGGACGGAACUGCGACUGGAGGCACGAAGGCCAGGGGAGGCAAACGGG